rnacentral:rRNA from 1 species
GGCAGCAUGGUCUUAGCUUGCUAAGGCUGAUGGCGACCGGCGCACGGGUGAGUAACACGUAUCCAACCUGCCGUCUACUCCUGGCCAGCCUUCUGAAAGGAAGAUUAAUCCAGGAUGGGAUCAUGAGUUCACAUGUCCGCAUGAUUAAAGGUAUUUUCCGGUAGACGAUGGGGAUGCGUUCCAUUAGAUAGUAGGCGGGGUAACGGCCCACCUAGUCAACGAUGGAUAGGGGUUCUGAGAGGAAGGUCCCCCACAUUGGAACUGAGACACGGUCCAAACUCCUACGGGAGGCAGCAGUGAGGAAUAUUGGUCAAUGGGCGAUGGCCUGAACCAGCCAAGUAGCGUGAAGGAUGACUGCCCUAUGGGUUGUAAACUUCUUUUAUAAAGGAAUAAAGUCGGGUAUGCAUACCCGUUUGCAUGUACUUUAUGAAUAAGGAUCGGCUAACUCCGUGCCAGCAGCCGCGGUAAUACGGAGGAUCCGAGCGUUAUCCGGAUUUAUUGGGUUUAAAGGGAGCGUAGAUGGAUGUUUAAGUCAGUUGUGAAAGUUUGCGGCUCAACCGUAAAAUUGCAGUUGAUACUGGAUGUCUUGAGUGCAGUUGAGGCAGGCGGAAUUCGUGGUGUAGCGGUGAAAUGCUUAGAUAUCACGAAGAACUCCGAUUGCGAAGGCAGCCUGCUAAGCUGCAACUGACAUUGAGGCUCGAAAGUGUGGGUAUCAAACAGGAUUAGAUACCCUGGUAGUCCACACGGUAAACGAUGAAUACUCGCUGUUUGCGAUAUACGGCAAGCGGCCAAGCGAAAGCGUUAAGUAUUCCACCUGGGGAGUA